GUGGACAGGUCCUAGUGACCAGCGAGUGCCCACCAGACUUAACAGCAACAAGAGAUGUUACGCCGAGGAGCCGCUGGACGGCACUGAGGUGUCGCUGAUACUGGAGGGCGUGGAGCAGCAGGACGCGGGGCCCUACACAUGCCACGCUACCAUCAACGGCCGCACCACCACACGCAGCUUCCUCCUACACGUCCACAAGACCGUAGAGUUCACCGGCACACCGCAGCACCAG